rnacentral:tRNA from 1 species
AAUAAUUUAGUGAGGACACAUGAAACUUUGAUUUUCAAAAGUAUAAUUAUUUUAUAAGUUGUUU